CCUACUCGUGGAGCUUGUGGUACCCUCUUGCUCGUUGUUGCGGUCUGGAUUCUCAACAACAAUGGAACGAUAUCACAACACAACUUCAACCGUAUCAUAGCCGUAACUGGAGAGGAAGACUGAUCCUUCUUACCUGGCAAAGUUGCAUCCCAUGGACUAGGCAGGAAAGAAACAGUCGCCUCCACCGUAAUAUUUUACGUUCUGUUGAUGUGCUGACUAGGCUGAUUGAUCGAAAAAUAAGAGACAUAAUUCUCAGCUAUCGUGAAAGUAGUCCUCGGCUUUCCUCAAAGAUGAUGCAACAAUGGCUUGCAUGACUCUCCAGCAGCUUCAUCGGAUUUAACGACACAAACCAUUGUCCGUUUCAUCUUCCCGACUUCUCUAACUUGGGCUAAGGCCUAGUUUUACUCAAAAGGCAAUUAGGAUCAUUGAUUUGGGUACUUAAACUUUUUGGGCUGAUUAACCGGGCUGGCUGGGACAAAUACACUAGCUG
rnacentral:lncRNA from 1 species